rnacentral:rRNA from 1 species
UCCUACGGGAGGCAGCAGUGGGGAAUAUUGGACAAUGGGGGAAAGCCUGAUCCAGCCAUGCCGCGUGUGUGAAGAAAGUCUUCGGGUUGUAAAGCACUUUAAGUUGGGAGGAAGGGCAGUAAGUUUAAUCCCUGGGUGUGACGUACCCACAGA